CGAUCGGUAGCCGGACUGAGAGGUUGAACGGCCACAUUGGGACUGAGACACGGCCCAGACUCCUACGGGAGGCAGCAGUGGGGAAUAUUGCACAAUGGGGGAAACCCUGAUGCAGCGACGCCGCGUGGAGGAAGAAGGUCUUCGGAUUGUAAACUCCUGUUGUUGAGGAAGAUAAUGACGGUACUCAACAAGGAAGUGACGGCUAACUACGUGCCAGCAGCCGCGGUAAAACGUAGGUCACAAGCGUUGUCCGGAAUUACUGGGUGUAAAGGGAGCGCAGGCGGGAAGACAAGUUGGAAGUGAAAUCCAUGGGCUCAACCCAUGAACUGCUUUCAAAACUGUUUUUCUUGAGUAGUGCAGAGGUAGGCGGAAUUCCCGGUGUAGCGGUGGAAUGCGUAGAUAUCGGGAGGAACACCAGUGGCGAAGGCGGCCUACUGGGCACCAACUGACGCUGAGGCUCGAAAGUGUGGGUAGCAAACAGGAUUAGAUACCCUGGUAGUCCACACUGUAAACGAUGAUUACUAGGUGUUGGAGGAUUGACCCCUUCAGUGCCGCAGUUAACACAAUAAGUAAUCCACCUGGGGAGUACGACCGCAAGGUUGAAACUCAAAGGAAUUGACGGGGGCCCGCACAAGCAGUGGAGUAUGUGGUUUAAUUCGACGCAACGCGAAGAACCUUACCAAGUCUUGACAUCCUGCGACGGACAUAGAAAUAUGUUUUUCCUUCGGGACGCAGAGACAGGUGGUGCAUGGUUGUCGUCAGCUCGUGUCGUGAGAUGUUGGGUUAAGUCCCGCAACGAGCGCAACCCUUAUGGUCAGUUACUACGCAAGAGGACUCUGGCCAGACUGCCGUUGACAAAACGGAGGAAGGUGGGGAUGACGUCAAAUCAUCAUGCCCUUUAUGACUUGGGCUACACACGUACUACAAUGGCGUUAAACAAAGAGAAGCAAGACCGCGAGGUGGAGCAAAACUCAGAAACAACGUCCCAGUUCGGACUGCAGGCUGCAACUCGCCUGCACGAAGUCGGAAUUGCUAGUAAUCGCAGAUCAGCAUGCUGCGGUGAAUACGUUCCCGGGCCUUGUACACACCGCCCGUCACACCAUGAGAGCCGGGGGGACCCGAAGUCGGUAGUCUAACCGCAAGGAGGACGCCGCCGAAGGUAAAACUGGUGAUUGGGGUGAAGUCGUAACAAGGUAGCCGUAGGAGAACCUGCGGCUG
rnacentral:rRNA from 1 species